GCCCCACACUGGGUGUUUAGAUGACUAAAGAAUGAAAAAUCUUUAAAAAAUAAAAACUAAAAAAUGAGAAACACUAGCUGCAAACUGGCCACAUUUAAAGAAAGACAUGAUUAUAUUCACCUAGGGAACUCAAAGAACUCCAAGGAAGAACUCAAAGAGACCCAAGGAUACAAAUUAUAAACAAACGUUCAAAGACCAAAGAUAAAAAGAGAAUCUUGAAAACAUCAAGAGAGAAGCUGCUCAUCACAUGGAAGGGAUCGUUAAUAAUUUUAUCAAUAGAUUUUUCAUCAGAAAAAAGGCAGAAAGGCAAUGGACCAAAUUGCUGAAAGUGCUAAGAAAAAAAAAUCUUUCAACCAAGAAUUCUAUAUCCAGCAAAAAUGCCCUUUAAGAGUGAGGGAGAAAUAAAGACAUUCCAAGAUAAAUAAAAGCUGAGUAAGACUGUCACCAGACCUUCCCUACACAAUAACCAGAGAUACUGCAUGAAACAACAAUGAUCCCAACAAAAGAUAACACAUCUGCAAUUAUCAAUUAUCGUUACCAUAACAGUGGUUUGUAACUCCACUUUUUGCAUUCUACAUGCUUUGAGAGACCAAUGUACUUAUAAAAAAAAACUUCUUAGUCUAAAUGCUAGUAUUAUGGUAACUUUGCUUUGUAACUCAGCCUGUUGUUUUCUAAUUAUUUAAGACACUAAUCUAUUCAAAAUAGUUUGUUUUCGGCAACAAUAUAUAAAGAUGCAAUUCUGUGACAACAGCAAUUUAAUAAAGUGAGGAGGGAGAUGUGAAAGAGUACAGUUUCUGUAUGUUACUGAGGUUAAGCUAGUAUAAUUUAAAGUGUUCUAACUUAAGGAUGUCAAAAAUGUAAUUCUCAGGGUAUCCGUAGA